AAAGGCUAACACCCUCCCUUGUUUACCGCUCCGACGGCACUCAGCUGAGUAACCGCUGGAGGGUGAGCGACUACGGAGCAGACGGACAAGUCCUCAUGUCAACCAUCUGCAAAUUCAACACAGAGACGCAGAGUCCGAGUCCGAGUCCGAUUCCGAGGCAGAAGAGAAAGGUCGUUGAGGAAGGGAGCAGUGGCCGUCCGUCUCUGCCAGAGAAACGCCUCAGAGUGUGAUGGGAUGACUUGAAAGACCCUGCAUGUGACUGACCAUGUUUGUGUCCUGAGCGUCUGGCAGGGACAGCAACACCCCUGGUAGCGUCUUGCACCGGGGUCUCUCCACCAGCGUGACAUAAGAGAUAUUUAUUUUUGACUCCUCAGGGUCGGCCUGUGCGUCUUGCAGGGCCGGUGAGGCCCCUGGUAGCGUCUUGCACCGGGGUCUCUCCACCAGCGUGACAUAAGAGACAUUUAUUUUUGACUCCUCAGGGUCGGCCUGUGCGUCUUGCAGGGCCGGCGAGGCCCCUGGUAGCGUCUUGCACCGGGGUCUCUCCAUAAGAGACAUUUAUCUUUUACUCCUCAGGGUCGGCCUUUGCGUCUGGCAGGGCCGGCGAGGCCCCUGGUAGCGUCUUGCACCGGGGUCUCUCCAUAAGAGACAUUUAUCUUUUACUCCUCAGGGUCGGCCUGUGCGUCUUGCAGGGCCGGCGAGGCCCCUGGUAGCGUCUUGCACCGGGGUCUCUCCAUAAGAGACAUUUAUCUUUUACUCCUCAGGGUCGGCCUGUGCGUCUGGCAGGGCCGGUGAGGCCCCUGGUAGCGUCUUGCACUGGGGCCCCUGUAGACAUACAGUCUGAGGGGUAAAUAUUGUACAUAUGUAAAUAGUUUGUUCAUCAUGGAUGUAGCACACAGGUCAGCGUUUUCGGUGCGUCAUGCACUGGUGCGACUUGCACCGGUGCGUCUUGCACCGGUGCGUCUUGCACCUUUCUUUAUUUCUUGGAGCCGGCCUGUGUGUCUGACAUGGUGAAUUUAAAGGGAGCCAUGGGGAACUCACCUCCUGAAACACCUCCAACUUUAUUUAUUGUUGCUGACUCAUCAUCAGUUGAGAUCAAGCGUCAGGCUCAGUGAGGAAAGAGAAUCACAGCCUAUCCACCAAUGACAGACAGGACGAACAGGAGAGGACAGACUGACUGACAGAAGGAGAGGGAGAGGACAGAGACAGCUUGAUAUAAAUCAGGGAUGGCUUUGACUCCACCUGCACGUCUCGCCCAGCUAACUGGACCAACCAGCUGUGGACAGAGUGAUGAACACGAGGCUGGUUGUGAAGGAUAGAAACCUGGGAGCCAAGACGUUUUGACUUUUAAAUGAAGACCAACUCUGCUGUGAAACGUCACCAGGAGAGUGAACAGACUGAGAGAGACGAGGAGCUGCGACGAGACAAGAGGAAAAGGAGACGGGAUGCACCGUCAACCAGCUCAUAUAAAAAGAGAAAUAUACAUUUAUUAAGUUAUUAUCAGAAUUCUUAUAUAGUUCAAUAAUUCUGCUGUAGUUUAUUAAUUAUUGUCUCCUUUUGUUUGUCUUUUGUCUUUUAGAGAGAGGAGAGGAAACGAGGAAGAAACGAGACCAGACCAGACCAGUCCAGACCAGACCAGAGACAAGACGGGAUGUUUUGUGAACCCUCUCCUUCAAAAAGAUAAGUAGACAUUUACUCAGUGUUUUCAUCAGAUAUUUCAUUCUUUAAAUCUCUCAUUUAAAAAGAUAAAUAUUCAUUUAUUGUGCAAUAUUAUACUUCUGUUAGAAGCCACUGCUGUAGUUAUUAACGUUUAUUCCCCUUGUCUGCCAUUUGUCUUUUAGAGAGAGACAAGAGGAGCUGAGACGAGACAAGAGGAAAGGGAGACGGGAUGCACCGUCAACCAGCUCAUAUAAAAAGAGAAAUAUACAUUUAUUAAGUUAUUAUCAGAAUUCUUAUAUAGUUCAAUAAUUCUGCUGUAGUUUAUUAAUUAUUGUCUCCUUUUGUUUGUCUUUUGUCUUUUAGAGAGAGGAGAGGAAACGAGGAAGAAACGAGACCAGACCAGACCAGUCCAGACCAGACCAGAGACAAGACGGGAUGUUUUGUGAACCCUCUCCUUCAAAAAGAUAAGUAGACAUUUACUCAGUGUUUUCAUCAGAUAUUUCAUUCUUUAAAUCUCUCAUU